rnacentral:rRNA from 1 species
UAAUUUUCAACAACAGAUCUCUUGGCUCUCGCAUCGAUGAAGAACGCAGCGAAAUGCGAUAAGUAAUGUGAAUUGCAGAAUUCAGUGAAUCAUCGAAUCUUUGAACGCACCUUGCGCUCCUUGGUAUUCCUUGGAGCAUGCCUGUUUGAGUAUCAUG